CCUACGGGGCAGCAGUGGGGAAUAUUGGGCAAUGGGCGCAAGCCUGACCCAGCACCGCCGCGUGCAGGAAGAAGGCUUUCGGGUUGUAAACUUCUUUUGUCAGGGACGAAACAAAUGACGGUACCUGACGAAUAAGCCACGGCUAACUACGUGCCAGCAGCCGCGGUAAUACGUAGGUGGCAAGCGUUAUCCGGAUUUACUGGGUGUAAAGGGCGUGUAGGCGGGAGUGCAAGUCAGAUGUGAAAAUUAUGGGCUCAACCCAUAACCUGCAUUUGAAACUGUACUUCUUGAGUACUGGAGAGGCAGGCGGAAUUCCGUGUGUAGCGGUGAAAUGCGUAGAUAUACGGAGGAACACCAGUGGCGAAGGCGGCCUGCUGGACAGCAACUGACGCUGAGGCGCGAAAGCGUGGGGAGCAAACAGGAUUAGAUACCCGAGUAGUC
rnacentral:rRNA from 1 species